AACGAACGCUGGCGGCAGGCUUAACACAUGCAAGUCGAGCGCCCCGCAAGGGGAGCGGCAGACGGGUGAGUAACGCGUGGGCAUCUACCCAUCUCUACGGAAUAACGCAUGGAAACGUGUGCUAAUACCGUAUACGUCCUUCGGGAGAAAGAUUUAUCGGAGAUGGAUGAGCCCGCGUUGGAUUAGCUAGUUGGUGGGGUAAAGGCCUACCAAGGCGACGAUCCAUAGCUGGUCUGAGAGGAUGAUCAGCCACACUGGGACUGAGACACGGCCCAGACUCCUACGGGAGGCAGCAGUGGGGAAUAUUGGACAAUGGGCGCAAGCCUGAUCCAGCCAUGCCGCGUGAGUGAUGAAGGCCCUAGGGUUGUAAAGCUCUUUUACCGGUGAAGAUAAUGACGGUAACCGGAGAAGAAGCCCCGGCUAACUUCGUGCCAGCCGCCGCAGUAAUAC
rnacentral:rRNA from 1 species